GCUCACAGUACGAAGAACAGUGGAUAACAACAAUGGCGUCCAGCGAUCAAACAGCGUUGCAAUUUUCGGCAUCAUCAGCAAGCUUAUCGGCUAAAGUUCAUCCUUUGGUCAUUUUCAACAUCUGCGAUUGCUUUGUGAGGCGACCUGACCAAGCCGAGCGUAUCAUUGGCACUCUUCUCGGUUCUGUAUUACCUGAUGGUACUGUUGAUGUUAGGAAUUGUUAUGCUGUUCCGCACAGCGAGUCUCAAGAUCAGGUUGCACUGGAUAUUGAUUACCAUCAUAACAUGUUAUCGUCUCAUCAGAAGGUGAAUCCAAAG
rnacentral:misc_RNA from 1 species